GAAAACAUGUUAAAAUAUUUUCAUUCUUAAUAAAUCACCAGUACAAAAUAAACAUAAAGCUGAAUGAUGAUAAUAUUAAGUACAACCAUAAUCAUCUACUAGAAAUCCCCAAAACCCAGUGUCACUAAGUACAUGAGCAUCUGGUAGAUUAUACAAAACCAUUAUAUCUACUGUCGGGAACAAAAAUAGAAAGAAUAAAAUAAACAUAGGGGGAAGGAGACUCUGGGUGCAGCGGGUCAAAGUAUGGAAAGCCGCUCACCACAAGGUUUCCAGCAAAUGCGGCUACGCGCUCGAGUGACCACUUAAAGUACCUGUCUCAGUACCUACACAAUUAGCACAUAAGUGUAGUAUGGGUACAUAAAUUAACGUGUACCCCAUAAGUAACUAGUCUAACCUCGAAGAAGUAGUGAUGAAUGGUCGACAUCGACACUUACUAGUGGUCCAAUAACAAUGUAUAUAAAGUAGACAACUAUGAAACACAACAAGUAGUAGCAAGACAGAUAGAUAUAGUAAUAUGAUUCUUAAGAAAGAAUAAUUAUAAAAUAAUUCAAUACCAUAAACUACCCUGAAGGGACAAGGUCAACCAAUAUCAAAUACGAUACCAUAUCUCAAGUCAGAAAAACUCAUAUGCACACUGACUCCCUGUAGAGUAUUACACACGAGUCUGCCGAGGCGAUCGACCCGAUCCCAAAAUAAUAGUUUUACAUAAUACCACCGAGGAGAAUGGCCCAAUCCCAUAAGAAUAAUUUAUAAUACUGCUGAUGUGAACGACCUGAUCCCAUAAGUAUAAUUCACAAUACUGCCGAGGCGAACGGCCAGACCCCAUAAUAAUAAUUCACAAUACUGCCGAGGUAAACAACCUAAUCCUAAAAGAAUAAUGAAAGUCUCUCACCCACAAAGAUACGUGCGAUUCGAAAGACAUGGAACUACCGAUCAUCAAAUAUCCCACAAAAUUCAAAGUAAGAGGCUCGGUCAAUACAUAAAUUCUAGUCUCAGUCCAGUUAUAAGUUCAAGUAAUCAAACAAACAAGUUUAAUUCAAAUAAUACAGUUUAGGUACGGUGUAGGUCUAAGUCUACCCUGACAUAAACAUGAAUCUAGCUGCACACGGACUCUUGUUACCUCGUAUGUACGUAGCAUCCACAACAAGUAGCACACAACAGUUAAAUACUUACGGGGUUAAUUUCCUCUUAUAAGAUUAUGCAAGAGACUUACCUUGCUUCCAAGCCUACUACUCGGCUCCCAAACCUCACUAGUCACCUCAAAUCGAUGCCGAGCAAUCCAAAACUAGUAAAAGGGCAUACAAACCAAUCAAUAUAUAUUCAAAAUCUCAUAAUUCAAUUAUUAUAUUCAAAACUCCACAGCACUCAAAAAUUCAACAAAAGUCAACCCCUGACCCACGUGCCUGGAUUUCAGAAAUGUUCGAAGAUAAAUGUUAUCCAUGGAAUUACAAACUCAAUUAAAUAGUUUUUACCCCUAUCCAUAUUUAAUUUAGUGUUCAAAUACCUAUUUUUACCAAAUUAUAGGUUUUUCAACCAAACCCCCCAAAAUCUACAAAUUCCCAUGUUAAAAUCCUCACCUAAUCCAUGUAUUUAACCUAUAAUUGGUAGAAAUCACGUACCUCAUGAUGCUUGAUGAAAACCCCCUCCAAAGAUUUUCCAAAUUGCCCAAGCCAAGUGAAAAAUGAGGAGAAUGAGCCUAAAUCCCGUAUUACAAUCACAUUCUGCCUAGGGGGUUCUUAAUAGCGAUCGCGGAAAAUGCCUCCCGAUCGCGAAGACCAAUCUGCCUUCUGCCUAGAAAACCUUCAUCGCGAUCAUGAUGCCCAGGUCACGUUCGAGAUACACAUAGUCCCCAGCCCUCCGCAUUCGUGGUCCCACUACUGACCAUGAUGACUUUCACCUGCCUGCCCAAGAAAUUUCUCCUAUGCGAUCGCGACUGCCUCCACGCGAUCUCGAAGACCAUUAACUCAUCGCGUUUGCGUCUUUAUCCUCGCAAACUCGAAGCAUUGCCAAGCCACCUUCCGCGAUUGCAAUGCCUUUUCCGAGAUCGCAUAGAACAAAUUCACUUAGUCCCACACAACUAUCUGCGAUUGCGUGACCAUCUCUGCGAUCACGAUUCACACUAGACACCAGCAAAAUCUGCCAACUUCAACCUUGCUUCGGGUGGUCCGAAACUCACCCGAGCAACCUGGGACCCCGUUCAAGUAUACCAAUAAGUUCAUAAAAAUCCUCACGUCCUACUCGAAGUCUCAAAACAUAUAAAAUAAUAUCAAAACCAAGAAUCGCACCUCAAAACCAAAUUAAUCAACUUCUAAACUUUAAAUUUCUUUUAACUAGCUUCGAACACGACAAAUCGUACUUAGACAACACAUAAUGAUGCCAAAUUUCACACACAAUUCCGAUAUGACACAAACCUACUCCCAGACUCAAAAUGCCAAAAGUGAUCCGAUAACACUAAUGUCUAAUUCAAAUCAAACUUAGAAAACUCUAAAGCCUUCAAGAUGCCAACUUCCAACAAUAAGUGCUGAAACGCUCCUGAUCCACCCGAAACUCGAUCCGAACAUACGCCCAAGUCCAAAAUUACCAUACGAUCCUAUUGAAACUUUUAAAUCCUGAUUCUGAAGCUGUUUACUCAAAGUGUUGACUCAAGUCAAACUUAGAAAUCAAACUUGGCCAUCUUAGGCCACUAUUAUGGAACAAAGUUUCCAAAUUCAACCUGAAUCCUUCCAAAAUCUAACCAACCAUCCCCACAAGUUAUAAAAUAAGAAAAGCACAUACGGGGAGUCUUAAAUAAAGCAAGAAAAAUUUGAAAAGUAAAAUGACCGAUUGGGUCAUUUCACUUGAGAAGAUUUGUGCUUGUUAAAGCUUCUGGUUUAUGGUAUUUGGUGUGUUAUGAUCUGUAUAGAUGUGGUGAUAUAUGUUUCUCAGAGAUCUUGGGUUAAGGAGCAUGGUUUAAGAGGUUAUUGGAAUUAUUUUUGUAUGUAUUGGGAUAAUGGAAAAGUUAAGAGAGGCCUUUAGAGGCUCGAGGAUUUGUAUAUUCGAUGCAUUGGGUUCUAUGAGGUUGUAGAUGAUCAAGAGUGGUGUAGUAGCCUGUGUAUAUUUGUAGUUGAGGCCGGUGAGUUAGAGGUUUAUGGAAUGUCUAUGAGUGGAAGUUAGGAUGGGUCUCUAUUGGUUGGUAGGAGGCUUAUUACUACUUCAGAAGUAUGUGGAAUCAGCUUAGGUGUCUACUAGUACGACGAUUGAUGAUGUGUAUUUUACGACAGGCCUAAUUUUCCUAUAAAGUUAUUUUUUUGCAGACUUAUUAUAUUUGAGUUAUUGCUGAUAUGGUUCAAACCAUGACGAUUGAGGUUUCAUGUCAAAUUUGGCAUAACUUGUUUGUUGAAUAGCUUGUGCUACGUGAGACGAAGUUUAUGGAUAUGAAAUUAGCAUGAUCGAAUUUGGAUAAGGGUAUAUUUGGAAGCGAAUGCCUUUAGGAAUCCUAGAACAUGCAAUGGUUCUUCCCGGACGAGAGGAAAUCUAUGACUUGUUGAUGUGAUGGGUGAUCUUGAGUUUCUACAGGUUUUGUUCAUCAUUAACAGUGUUUUGAAGGAUUAGAACAACGAUUUAUUUGAGAUGAGGUAUUUUUUCGGUACUGUGUGUGGCUAUAAGUGGUAAUUGCAAUAAGAAGAUAUUGCUAUGGUUAUACGAGUUAUGAGGUACAUCGCGUGGUUACAUCUUAGAAGUACAUUUUAUGGCUUAAUAAAAAUUGUUGAGAUUGAUAAAGUUUAUAUAUACAAGAACCAAAUCUUAGAGGGAGUGCCGAAUAUUAAAAUUUUGUUCAAGGGCUUAUGGGCCAAAGGUUGAAUAAAGAAUUUUUACUUAGGAUUAUGUUUGGUAGAAUGGGAAGAAUUGAGGGAAGAAGGGCACACAAGGAAUGAAUGGGAAGAUCAAAAAGUUGGAAGUAGAAAGAACUUAAUGGGCGUAUAUGGAUUGAGGUGAUGUGACAUCAUCCAAGGGUAUGUGUAUGAUGAGUUUAUGCAUUUAUAUGACUGCUUUGGAUGACUCUUGUCACAUUUGAGAAUGAACAUAUAUUUAAGUGGGGAGAAUGUGACGAUCCGACUGGUCGAUUUGAGUUCUAGCAUUCCUUUAUGUGAUUUGAGACCUUUAACAACUUCAUAUAACAUAUUAUGACUUACGAGUAUGGUUGGUUUUGAAUUCCGAGAGGUUCAGGGGUGGUUUGGAAGAGUAAUUCUUUAUUUGAAAGCAUUAAGUUGGAAGAGUUGACUGGGAUUUGACUUUUGUGUAAACGACUCCGGAUUGGUGAUGGAAAAGUUCCAAUAGGUUUGUAUGGUUUUUUCGGACUUGUACAUAUGUUUGGUUCGGGCCUCGGGUCGCUCAGGGUUGAUUUGGUGCUUCUAGUCAAAGGUUGAAAUUUUGAAUUUGUAAAAGUUUGAAGAUUUUUGGUUUGAUGCGUGUUUCUUAGUUUUGAUGUUGUUAUUCAUGUUUUGAGACUUUGGACAUGUUUGAAUAAGGUAAAUGAACUUGUUAGGAUGAUUGGACUAGGUCCCGAGGGGCUCGGAUGAGUUUCAUACCAUUUGAGACCAAGUUGGAUUUUGCUAUUCUUGUGGUGUGUUACAGUGAAUCGCGGGGGGAGGGGGGAGGGUGUAUCGCAAUUGCAAAGAAGGAAGGUAGAGGCGGCAAGUUUGGUGAUACGCGAUCGGGGGAAGAGGUUCAUGAACACGUAGUGUAGUCAUGUGGUAUAUCGCGAUCCAGAGAAAGGAAAUGUGAUCCCAUAUAAGGCUGUGGCAGGAGGAUGUUAGUUCAUCGUGAUUGCGUGUGAGCUUCGCAUUCACAUAUGGUUGCCUGAUGAACUUUUGCGAUCGCGUGUGUCACACCCCAUUUUCUUAGAAAGCAGGUUUCGACGUAUGACAACUAUUUUAAAGGGUAUUAAAAUAGAAGAGUCACCAUCUAACUAUUUUUUAAGGUGUGUUAGGGCACCUAUUUUAGAAUAACUCUGUUUUAACUAGUCCACAUUACCAAUGAUCGGGUAAGGGCUAAAAUUACCUCGAAUAGAAGACGUUAGGUACUCUUCGAGGUCCACAACUAUAGUUCCCGACCGAAUUUUAAGCUAUGUGGGAAUAUUAAGUUAUUAACUAAAUUAUCCUAAGUGGGCAUACAAAUUAGUUCAUUAUUAAGCUAAAUAAAUAUGUAGGUGAUUAAAUACGCUACUAAUUAUUCUAAGUGGAUCAAAAUGACCGGAUGUAGUCCAACUUAAAGGAUAUUCGAAGCUAUAAUAAAAAUAAUACAGAGACUGAACUUAAAAUGGAAUAACAGAAAGAUUCAUCAAUUGACUAGUAUUAAUUUACAAAAACUUUUAAUUACAAAGAUGUUCAAACCUUAGAGCUACUUAAACAAAUUCUAAAUGGUACUCACUAAACUGGAUAGAGCGCACAUGAAUAAUUAGACAUAAUGGGGGUCCUUAAUUUUUUAAGCCUAAAGGAUCACACCGUGCAACAUAAAUAAUUCUUCGCAACCUUAGGUGCAAUGGUUUCUCAUAUUAUCCAGCUACCCGAUGACUAUCUUUAUAUUGUUUACCUAAAGUGUACUAAUUCAAUUCUAAAUCGGUACAUGUGUGCCUACCCGUCCCAUUUCUAUAGUCCAAGAGGUGUUAGACAGCUAUGGGGAUGGUUAUAUACUCAACCUAAGGUUUCUUAAAAUUAAAAACUAAGCGCCAAACAAGCGAAGUAAAUAGGACUUCAAAGAAUACAAUUAGCAUGUAAAUGGUUCACAUUUACCUCCCAUACAUACCCAUAGAUGGGUGCGAGGACUGUUACUAAUUAGAAACUGAUUUUAAAGAGGUGGCAGAAUUAAGCCGUCGAUAUAUUAGAUUGGAGAAAUAGGAUACAUCCUAUGAGCAUGAUUUCUUAACGUGAUGGUAUACUAGACAUAUUUUCUAAAUUAACUUGUACCAUUAGAUUAGCUUAUUUGUGCCUGAGACGAAAGUUCUAGAUGACAAUUAUGAGUGCGUGAUGGAUAGUGUAAACUGCCUAGGUGGCAUUGUUAAUCCCAUAGGCAUGAUAUCUAUAUGAGUGUUAUAGCAAGGAGUACUAAGGCAGAAUUUUUUAUUUUAAUCCUAUAGGCAGGAUUUCCACGAUUUAAGAGUUAAUGAACACAAACUAGUUAAUAUCUGAAAAUAAAGAAGUAGCCAGGUGGUGUUAAAUAAACGAGCAAAUUAACAUAGACUAGACCCUAUAGGCAUGUUAACUAGGUGGUGUUAUUAGAUUAUUGGACCCUAUAGGCAAGUUAUCUAGGCAGUGCUCCAUCCAUACUAACUAAGGUCCUAGAAUCAUGUUUCUAAGUGAAACGAACACGUCAAAAUAUGAGUCCUAUAGGCAUGGUUUCUAUUAACAAAUAGCAUGUAGGAAUUCAAGACCUAUACACAUUUUUUCUAUUGGCAAGUAGCACAUAGGAAUUUAAUGCUUUCUACCCUUAAUAUAAAUAUAAUACUAUAUGAAUGCUUUCUAAAAGAUAGAAUACCCGACCCCCAGCAUCCAAUAGCUCCCAUAACUAUUUUUUAUAAGGGUUGUUAUUACAGGCCUAAGAGAAAGAGAUAAAAGUAAAAAAAAAUAUACACUAGCCACGGGUCCAGUGAUAUAGUAACUAAAUACAAUGUGAACCAAGUAUAUAUGGGCCUUCAGAAUUUUUAAAAAAUGGACAAGGCCCACAAUUUGCACCCAUAACUCAGCAGCAGUGAAAAGGCCAUGUUGAGUGUGAUACUCGAUUGAUCUCAAAGGCAAGACUCACCCAACCCAUACUCUUGAUGAUUUUAGAGGACUAGGCUAAACUAGACAUGCACCCCUAGAGGCAGACCUUCUAAAUGCACAUGCUAGUGUAUGUUUUGGUAAUUAAUCAUUCAACACGAUGCGAGGAAGAGGAUUUCGAACAAACAACACAAGUGGUAAGCUAGGAAAUAUGUACUAUACCAUAUCACACUUGUCACUAAUUCUAACAAAAAAACCAUGUCUUAAUGGACAAAAAUUUGCACCAAACAAGUGGCUAUAGUUUACACACAGGUUCACUAUUAACAAGGAGGCAGGUCUCAAAAAACCAUAGAUACCACAAAACUGAAGCAUGAACACACAUAAACGAAUGUCUUCCAAUUUCAAGCGUUACUAAUGAUUUACAGAAAUUAGGAGCAGGAUAUUUAGGAGAACUUAAGGUCUGACUCAACAUAUUAAAUGAGUACAUGCGAGGUCUCUUGUUAAAUAACAGGUGAGAUGAAUCUGUAAACCAGGUUCUAUCAAUCCUAACCAAUUUUGGUCACAUUCUUAGUUUUAUAGAAACUAACAAGCUAUUGACAUGGUAGAACAGUCACCAAAGAGUGAUGAGCUAAACACCAAAUUCAAAAAAUAUCCUUAUCCAAUUUAUUAGCUAAGUCUAAAUAUACUAACAAACAUACUAAUCAUAAUUCUAACAGUAAACAAUCAGUAAUUGAAAUUCAUGAGAUGAACCAGUAGCAAAGAUUUUCUACAAGCAAGCUUUGACUAAUUAAGAAGAUAACAUGAUUGGAAAAUCAUUCAACGAACUCUACGACUAAGCAGGCAAGAGUAAAAUAGAAUGGCUAAUGUUACUAACCAAUCAAGAUGGUAACAAGAACAUGCAGCACAAAUUGAAAAGAGUCUCAAAUUGUGUUCCCAGAAUCUUGAAUCCCCGCAAAUCAGAGUUCACGAGGACUUCUAGGGAUCCCUAGCAGUGCUUAUGCCGGGAAAGUUUAAAAAUCGAUGUCCAUUGGCGUUGGCUUUUAACCGGACACAAAUCAACUAAACAAGAAGUGAAACUAAGAACAAUAGAGCAAUAGAAUCAACAAGUAUAAGUGAGAGAUAAAAGAUGAAUGACUAAGGCUUCCCUCUAAGGGGAAAGGGGAGGGGAUUUAUAUAGUACUAGCAUCAUGUGAACAAAUAAAUAAAGAGGAUCAAUCACACAAAAUAAGGAAAAAGACCACAUGCAAACUAAUUUCAUGACGGAUUAGGGUAUGGUGCAAGCCCUAAUUGAGCAUGAAUCACUAGAGAGGUGCCCUGAUUGGAGAGAUAUUCCCUCUCCCUUGAUAUACAUAGCCAGAAUUUUGCAGAAUCUUUAAAAUCGGGUCCAUUUGGACUCGAAUCAUAGAAAUAGAUCUUCCAUAGGUAGAGCAGUACCAAAUAUUACAUAUUUGAGUGGUAAGCACCUAGAAAAGGUAAGAAAAUCUUUGAUUUGUGGGGGAAUAAAAGAGGAAGGGUGAGAAGGCUCUGUGGCCACUAGGGUUCAUCGUGAAAUAGGGAGAUAAGAGGCGUCAGGUGAGAGGAAAAAUGAUAUUAGGGUUGGGGGGUUAAGAGGGGGGAGGGGCUG
rnacentral:lncRNA from 1 species